rnacentral:rRNA from 1 species
GACGAACGCUGGCGGCGUGCUUAACACAUGCAAGUCUAGGGGGCCCGCAAGGGUCACCGGCGAACGGGUGCGUGACACGUGAGCGACCUGCCCAGCUGCGGGGGAUAGCCGGCCCAACGGCCGGGUAAUACCGCAUACGACGCCUGCUUAGAAGCGGGACGUGAAAGCUUUGGCGCGGUUGGAGGGGCUCGCGGCCUAUCAGCUAGUUGGUGCGGUAACGGCGACCCAAGGCGAUGACGGGUAGCUGGUCUGAGAGGAUGGCCAGCCACAUUGAGAGUGGGAAACGGCCCAGACGCGUACGGGAGGCAGCAGUGGGGAAUCUUGCGCAAUGGCCGAAAGGCUGACGCAGCGACGCCGUGUGGGGGAUGAAGGCCUUCGGGUUGUAAACCCCUGUUGCCCGGGACGAACACACCGUUUCGACGGUGCUGACGGUACCGGGUGAGGAAGCACCGGCUAACUCUGUGCCAGCAGCCGCCGUAACAC